GGUGGUGAUGAUAGCGAAGUGGAAACACCUGUUCCCAUCUCGAACACAGAAGUUAAGCACUUCAGCGCCGAUGAUAGUAAGGCACCUGCCUUGCAAAAGUAGGUCGUUGCCACCU
rnacentral:rRNA from 1 species